GACGAGGGAUCCUAGCGUUGUUCGGAAUUAUUGGGCGUAAAGCGGGUGUAGGCGGCUUAAUAAGUCAGAUGUGAAAGCCCUGGGCUCAACCCAGGAAGUGCAUUUGAUACUGUUAAGCUUGAAUGUGGGAGAGGCAAGCGGAAUUCCUGGUGUAGUGGUGAAAUACGUAGAUAUCAGGAGGAACACCGGUGGCGAAAGCGGUUUGCUGGCCCAACAUUGACGCUGAGACCCGAAAGCGUGGGGAUCAAACAGG
rnacentral:rRNA from 1 species